rnacentral:rRNA from 1 species
GAUGAACGCUGGCGGCGUGCCUAAUACAUGCAAGUCGAGCGAACUGAUUAGAAGCUUGCUUCUAAGACGUUAGCGGCGGACGGGUGAGUAACACGUGGGCAACCUGCCUGUAAGACUGGGAUAACUUCGGGAAACCGAAGCUAAUACCGGAUAGGAUCUUCUCCUUCAUGGGAGAUGACUGAAAGAUGGUUUCGGCUAUCACUUACAGAUGGGCCCGCGGUGCAUUAGCUAGUUGGUGAGGUAACGGCUGACCAAGGCAACGAUGCAUAGCCGGCCUGAUAGGGUGAUCAGCCACACGGGGACUGAGACACGGACCGGACUCCUACGGGAGGCAGCAGUCGGGAAUCUGCCGCAAUGGACGACAGUCUGACGGAGCAAAGCCGCGUGAGUGAUGAAGGCUUUCGGGUCGUAAAACUCUGUUGUUAGGGAAGAACAAGUAAAAGAGUAACUGCUUGUACCUUGACGGUGCCUAACCAGAAAGCCACGGUUAACUACGUGCCAGCCGCCGCCGUAAGAC